rnacentral:rRNA from 1 species
UACGUAGGCAGCAAGCGUUGUUCGGAGUUACUGGGCGUAAAGAGUGCGUAGGCGGUUGUUUAAGUUUGGUGUGAAAUCUCCCGGCUCAACUGGGAGGGUGCGCCGAAUACUGAAUGACUCGAGUGCGGGAGAGGAGAGUGGAAUUCCUGGUGUAGCGGUGAAAUGCGUAGAUAUCAGGAGGAACACCGGUGGUGUAGACGGCUCUCUGGACCGUAACUGACGCUGAGGCACGAAAGCGUGGGUAGCAAACAGG